CCCUAAUCAUCGAAGCGCCUCUCUCCUCCUCCUCCUCCUCCUCCUCCUUCGAGCGAUCUCUAAGCUUCCGAAGGGAAAGAUGAGCAGCCGUGCGAGCAGGACUGUUUAUGUUGGGAAUCUACCUGGUGACAUUCGCGAGAGAGAAGUGGAAGAUUUGUUCCGCAAGUAUGGACCAAUAGCCCACAUCGAUCUGAAGAUACCACCUAGGCCUCCUGGUUAUGCAUUUGUUGAGUUUGAAGAUGCUCGAGAUGCUGAAGAUGCCAUCCAUGGUCGUGAUGGCUAUGAUUUUGAUGGGCAUCGCUUAAGGGUGGAGCUUGCUCAUGGUGGUCGCGGCCACUCAUCAUCAUCUGAUCGCCACAGUAGCUAUGGUGGUGGUCGGGGGGGUUCACGUGGAGUAUCGAGGCACUCUGAAUUUAGAGUCCUGGUUACUGGGUUACCAUCUUCAGCUUCAUGGCAAGAUCUUAAGGAUCACAUGCGUCGAGGAGGAGAUGUCUGCUUCUCACAAGUUUUUCGUGAUAGCAAUGGCACAACAGGGGUUGUGGACUAUACCAACUAUGAGGACAUGAAGUAUGCAAUAAAGAAACUUGAUGAUUCAGAAUUCAGAAAUGCCUUUUCCCGGUCAUAUAUUCGGGUUAAGGAAUAUGAUUCGAAGCGCGAGUCCUCAAGAAGUCCUAGAGGCCGGAGCUACAGUCGCAGUCCUAGCCACAGCCGCAGUCGGAGCAGGAGUGUGAGCAAGUCUCCGAAAACCAAAAGUACACGGCGUUCACCUGCAAGGUCUCGAUCUCCUUCACGCUCCCGCUCUAAGUCACCUGCCUUAUCAGGGUAUGGAUAUGGAUAUGGAUAUGGAUAAAUGCGGCAAACUGGGGAUUCAAUAUUAGGAUCUUGGUGGGAUAUGGUUCAGUUGCCUGCAACUAUAUGGUUGUGGAGGUAUGAUGUUUUCUAGACGGGCAGCUUUGGAAAGCUUCAUGGUGUCUCUGUUCUAAUUUAAUUAGCAUCACAAUUCCAUGGGUGCUAGAUUGGGAACAAAGGAGAUCAUGGAAUAACAGAGCUGGAUUCUGUGAACUAGUUUCAUUGGGAUCUACUUCAAGAAGUCUCGGGCUAAUAGGAUGACAAUCUGGACUCCUUUGGAUUGUUUUGGUACUUUAGGGUGCAUUUUCCUCAUUUGUCUACUUUUCUGAUCUUUCAGGAUGAUAAACUUGUUUCUUUUCCCCUUUAAUUUAUGCUAUUUAGCUGGACUCAUGAUGGGUUUGAUGUUUUUUCUUAAGUUUCAAAAGAUUUACGGCUUAAUCUUUUCGUUCUGAAAAUGGUAAUCUGACGUGGAAGAGGCAUCAAGGCUCUUGGAUGAAAGACGUGUGGAUAUUAAAUUUGGUUCUUUCUGGAACUUUUGCAGAUCACGAUCAAGAUCCAGAUCACCAUUGCCUUCUCGUGAGAAACAACUGAGCAAAAGCCCUAAGAAGCGCAGUGCAAGCAGGAGUCCUAGCAGGAGCAGGAGCAGGAGCAAGAGCUUAUCCCGGUGAUAGGAUUGCGGGGCUAGCUGAUGAAUGCGCGGACCUUGGAAGAUGUGACCCAAAUGGAGCAUUCGUCUUAGCUUAAUAAUCAUCUAUAUAAUUGGAAGACCAGGUGUUAGCUUUCUGAAGACUGCAAUAUCAGGACGGUUCUCUGAGUGUUGUCAAUUGCUUUAUAGAACUCAUUUAGUUUCCAUGAAUUCAAACUUGGUUCUUGAAUAUGCUGCUUGUAAGAGAUUUGAACGAUAUUCAUCUUUUCUGAACUGCAUAUGUAUCUAGUUAUGUGAGAUUGUCGAAUUUCAUGGUUUUGACAUAUGACUUAAGU